CCNCAGGUCACCACUGAACAUCCUACUCAACGACUUCGAUCCAUGGAUAUCGUUCUCUGUUGUCCAUUCCACCAAAUGUCCUCAAACCUGGCAGAAAAGGGAAAAGGCUAAUGGGGCUGUGCAGUGCGCAUGCUGAUGAGAAUGAGGCAAGUCCGAGGAAUGGGCCACUCCAGAGUGGAGCUCCAGGGCUGCAUCGCUGUGGGCACGCCAAGCCUCCCUGAUUACCUGAGCUGCUCUGCGGCAUCUCCCGCGCCGGCUUCGCCAGGGUGCACCGGAACCCCGAGUCGCGGUCUGCGCCGUGCCGAAGAAGGACCUGCUCCCCACCUCUGGCUGGGGCCCCUCACAGCUGCAAGAGGGUGACGCUGGCGGAGACCCGGGGUGGGACGGAUAGAGAGGACGCCACGGACCGGGGGCCGGGCAGUUAGAAGUCCAUCCUGUGCCCGCCGGUCCUGCGCGGGGCGAGGGCAGCAACAGCCCCUGCCGCGGGCACCCAGCUUGGGCUGCUCCCAGCGAUUAGUCUGGGGGGAGAACCAAGCCAAGAUGUGGUGGCAUUUCCCUGAGUGGAGCUGAAGAUGGAUAAACCAGGUAUCUGCUGUAGCUGCCUGGCGAGGCAGAGCUGGAAAAAGGCAGAGCGAGGGGAGCGCAUGAAAAGCAAGAGGAGGUGCCGAUCCCGCUUGAUUGUCUGCCGCUUGGUCUGCAUUCCCAUUCUAGGGAGGAUGGCAUAAUUUAUAACCCAGUACAUGGAUGGAGGAACUGUAAAUUGUAGUCUGGAUGUCCCCGGUGCUGUCAAGGAAGAAACUGAUGGGCUAGGUGACUGUACCGUGUCCCCAGAGAAAAGAGCAGCCUUGCAGCAUGGAUUUGAAUGCAUGUGCAUGCAUGUAGGGACACGAAAAAGAAAGAUUUCUUACCAUUUUACACAGGAAGUCUGUCACUUUGCUGGAUCGGGCUUGAUUGCAGCUUGUAUUUUCAGCUUCAGCUCAACACCCAUUUCCUGACUAGCUAGAGAGCAUGGCCAAAGCAGCUGCAUGCAGAAUUUUCUUGUUAAUGUGAAAGCAAGACCCCUCAGCUUUAACUCCUUGAAGUUCUGAGUGCUCUGUGCUUUGCUAGGACUGAUUGUGGGGUUUUGUUUUCUUUUUCUUCUACAAAUCCCUGUAAACACAGCUGUAUUCAGUAUGGUGAAAAAUUCUAUCCUGUAAAUAGAAAUCUGAUCAAUUUAAUCAAAAUAAAUGUAUCCCAGAUGACUUUGAGACCAGCUGGCUACCACAGGCUUCAGAUGCUAAGUGUUCAAUAGAGAUGAAUGCAGUGUUCUAUUUACAUGUUUUAGAAUUCCAGGAUCAGCUUUUAAUUAAAAAAAAAAAAAAUCCUUUUCUAAGAAAGAGAGGUGGUCCUACCCAUUCAUAGCUCAAUGUUUAGGCACAGGUGCGGGAUGCUGGGUGUGAGAUUUGGGAGUCUGUGGUGUUGCAUUUCGAGGGGCGCGUGACCUGUGGCAAAGUAUGGCCAUGGUCAGUAUAGAGAAAGCAAGCAUCUAACUUACUGUGUGGAGAGGCGAGUGCCCUCAGAACAGCCUCUGCUGAGGUUGGGGGGAGGUGCUUGAGGCCGGUUUUGGACUCAGAUGAGUGAGCUGUGGUGCUCCAAGCCCAGCUCCCUCGAGUCAGCUCAAACCUGGGGAGGAGGAGCUUUCCCAGUUGUCAUGGGGAGCUCUUCUGAGACGCCUGUCUGGCCCUGCCACUGUUUGUUACUAUUUCUACAAAGGCCGCUCUGUGUGUUGGAUUAUGUUUGGCCAGCUGUUGAUGCAUUCCUGCGGGUGGGGUUGGGUGGGGAUCUCAUUACUGUACUUCCAAACUGUAGAUCCUAGUGCAUGGAGUAUAGGGAGGAAUGGAAAGAAAGCAAACUGGAGAAUCUGAUCACUCUCACCGCUUUCUCCAGAUAGUCCACGAGUGAAUCCAGAAAGGCUUACAGUGGAAAGAAGAAGAGGGAAU